rnacentral:rRNA from 1 species
GUAAUAAUUCAUAGACCAAUCUUCAUAUAUACUAAAACAUCACACAUUACAGAUAACAGAAUAGAUGAAAUAAACACAUCUAGACAUCCACGAUGAAAACUUGUACAUAAGCUGCAAGUCGCCAUUGCUGUUCAUGUCAGCAUUUAUUAUGUAAAAAGUUCUAUAGAUAUUUUAGGGAAAAAUUAUUUUAAGUAGGUAGGAUGCUAUAUCCAUGAAGUUACAAACGCGAGUGGGCCCACCAAGUAAUAGUGAGCAACAUUGAACUUGGCAAGGACGUAUGAGCUAUGCACCAGAGAAGCCGAAAUCAAUUCACUGACAGAUCAUUAGCCAGUUACGACUUUGUUGUCCCCGGACACGACUUGGUUGCUCCCUGAUACAACAUUAUUGUUCCCAGUUACCCUAUUGUUAUUGCCCGAUACAGUAUUGUUGCUCCCAGUAACGACAUGGUUGCUGUCAACUAUGACAUUGCUGCUCCCAGAUGUGACUGUGUUGUUGCUCCCAGAAACAUUAUUGUUGUCCCCAGAUACGACAGUGUUGCCGUUCCCAGAUACAAUAUUGCCACUCCCAGAUCUGACACUGUUUGUUGGUGCCAGUAAUGGUAUUUGAUUGUUGUUGUUGGAGUGUCCUUCUAUUGCUCUUCACAUACAAUAGCAAGUUAGUGAAAGCAAUACCUAGUGAACGAUCGACAACGGUGAGGCCCUUGAGUAGUGUCAAACCCUUGGGUACCUCACUGACCAAAAUGAAUUAUUUGAGAGAUCCAAGUACCUUCCUGGC